rnacentral:rRNA from 1 species
GAGGAAUAUUGGUCAAUGGGCGAGAGCCUGAACCAGCCAAGUAGCGUGCAGGAUGACGGCCCUAUGGGUUGUAAACUGCUUUUGUAUGGGGAUAAAGUCAAUCACGUGUGAUUGUUUGCAGGUACCAUACGAAUAAGGACCGGCUAAUUCCGUGCCAGCAGCCGCGGUAAUACGGAAGGUCCGGGCGUUAUCCGGAUUUAUUGGGUUUAAAGGGAGCGUAGGCUGGAGAUUAAGUGUGUUGUGAAAUGUAGACGCUCAACGUCUGACUUGCAGCGCAUACUGGUUUCCUUGAGUACGCACAACGUUGGCGGAAUUCGUCGUGUAGCGGUGAAAUGCUUAGAUAUGACGAAGAACUCCGAUUGCGAAGGCAGCUGACGGGAGCGCAACUGACGCUGAAGCUCGAAGGUGCGGGUAUCGAACAGGAUUAGAUACCCUGGUAGUCCGCACAGUAAACGAUGGAUGCCCGCUGUUGGUACCUGGUAUCAGCGGCUAAGCGAAAGCAUUAAGCAUCCCACCUGGGGGGUACGCCGGCAACGGUG